rnacentral:rRNA from 1 species
CCUACGGGAGGCUGCAGUGAGGAAUAUUGGUCAAUGGGCGCGAGCCUGAACCAGCCAAGUCGCGUGAGGGAUGAAGGUUCUAUGGAUCGUAAACCUCUUUUAUAAGGGAAUAAAGUGUGGGACGUGUCCUAUUUUGUAUGUACCUUAUGAAUAAGGAUCGGCUAACUCCGUGCCAGCAGCUGCGGUAAUACGGAGGAUCCGAGCGUUAUCCGGAUUUAUUGGGUUUAAAGGGUGCGUAGGCGGCAUUUUAAGUCAGCGGUGAAAGUCUGUGGCUCAACCAUAGAAUGGCCGUUGAAACUGGUGGGCUUGAGGAUGUUUGCGGCAGCCGGAAUGCGUGGUGUCGCGGU